CACCACCCCCCGUUGGGCAGACGUAACAGAUGAUGUGCGGCAGCUCAUCCGUUAGUGCCUUCAGGAUAAAUUUAACUUGGAUUUGAAUGUUCCACACAUUUCCCAUGCCGUCGACGACAUGGUCAAGGAGCGGUUUAAGGAGUACCGUGGUGACUUACACAAGUGGUACAAGCGGUGCAUGAGCCACAAGGAGAGCGUACUGUCCACACCGCCGCACGUGACCCAUGAUGACUAGCGAAUACUCUACGAGAGAUUUUCGUCUGAGUCUUUUCAGAAGAGGAGCAAAAUAAAUUCUGACAAUAGGGGAAAGUUAGAAGUGAACCACGUAGCUGGUUCAAAGUCAUUUGUACAACUUCGUCACGACAUGGUAAGAAAUUACUGGUAAUUAUUAAGUUGAUAUAUUCUUUCCAUGCAUUUAUAUUAACUCUAUUGUCCUUUCGAUUGCGCAGUGAGAUUCCUUCACUGGCCAGGAGCCCAAACUAUUAGACCUCUACAGAGGGACUCACUGUCGGCAGGUGAUGGGAUCUUGGCUACAUCCUAGAGCCAACGAGAAUUGGGCGGCGAUGGAGACCUUACGCAGUCAACCCACUCCCAAUGGUACUCAGCAGAGUGAGCCAGAGAUCCUAAGUGAGGUGCUUAGCACCUGUUCUAGAUAUGUGCAUGGUCUUGGCCAUGGUGCUAAGCUCAUGACAC